UCCUCAGUAGCUCAGUGGUAGAGAGGUCGGCUGUUAACUGACUGGUCGUAGGUUCGAAUCCUACUUGGGGAG
rnacentral:tRNA from 1 species